rnacentral:rRNA from 1 species
UACGUAGGGGGCAAGCGUUGUCCGGAAUCAUUGGGCGUAAAGCGCGUGUAGGCGGCCAGAAAAGUCCGCUGUGAAAACUCGAGGCUCAACUUCGAGCUGUCGGUGGAAACUUUCUGGCUAGAGUCCGGAAGAGGAGAAUGGAAUUCCUGGUGUAGCGGUGAAAUGCGCAGAUAUCAGGAAGAACACGCGUGGCGAAGGCGGUUCUCUGGGACGGUACUGACGCUGAGACGCGAAAGCGUGGGGAGCGAACAGG